AAUAAACGCUGGUGGCAUGCUUUAUACAUGCAAGUCGAGCGAAGACUAGAUUUGUAGUAGAAAUGAUUAAUUUUCACUUUGUGGAGAUUAUGAGUUUUUGCUAUUCCUGGUCUUAGCGGCGAACGGGUGAGUAACGCGUGAAUAAUCUGCCCUUGAAAUCGGGAUACCAUUCCGAAAGGAAUGCUAAUACCGAAUAACGUUAUGAAACGUAGGUUUUAUAACCAAAGUUGAAUCUUUGGAUUCUGCGUUCAAGGAUGAGUUCGCGUCCUAUUAGCUAGUUGGUGAGGUAAAGGCUCACCAAGGCUAUGGUGGGUAGCCGGCCUGAGAGGGCGUACGGCCACAUUGGGACUGAGACACGGCCCAGACUCCUACGGGAGGCAGCAGUAGGGAAUCUUCCGCAAUGGGCGAAAGCCUGACGGAGCGAUGCCACGUGGAUGACGGAGGCCUUCGGGUCGUAAAAUCCUGUCAGGAGGGACGAUGGUCAAUUUUCGGAUUGAUUGACGGUACCCCCAGAGGAAGCUCCGGCCAACUACGUGCCAGCAGCCGCGGUAAUACGUAGGGAGCAAGCGUUGUUCGGAUUUACUGGGCGUAAAGAGUGCGUAGGUGGCUAUACAAGUCAAGGGUGAAAUCUCUACUUUCAAGGUAGAAACUGCCUUUGAUACUGUAUGGCUAGAGGACAAGAGGGGGAAAUGGAACUCUGGGAGUAGCGGUGAAAUGCGUAGAUAUCCAGAGGAACGCCAGUAGCGAAGGCGGUUUCCUGGCUUGUUUCUGACACUGAGGCACCAAAGCUAGGGGAGCGAUCGGGAUUAGAGACCCCGGUAGUCCCAGCCCUAAACGAUGGGUACUAGGUGUGGGGGGAGCACUACCCUCUGUGCCAAAGCUAACGCGUUAAGUACCCCGCCUGGGGAGUACGGUCGCAAGACUG
rnacentral:rRNA from 1 species